CUGUGUUAAAAAAGUGAGUGCACGCGAAUUAAAAGUUGGACUUAAAUUACUAGAUUUUAACAUGGAACUCCAUUAAGAAAACUAUUUUUAAUUAGUCCCUAGAUACUACUUCUUUUCUUGGGGUAUUGAAGCCUAUUCGUCCAGAACUUGCUCAACUUUUGCGACUAGCCUUGUCGCCAUAGGGUUGUACACAUCCUCGUUUAAUACUGAUUGUCACGUGACACGGCAAUGUGUGUGUGUGUGUGUCGUUAGGCUGUUUGGCCUGUAUUCAAGGCGUUCUAUCCGUUAUGAUUUUAUAUUGAAGCAGAAUACAUCAGGUAUAGGCCCAUGUCAAGUCAAAUCGAUACAGGGAUCGAGGAGGGGGGAGGGGUAGAGCAAAAAAUUCCCAGUCACAUGAAAAAUGAUAUUUUUUAAUGAUUGUUCAUGCAUUAGGGCAAACCCCUGUGUGGCAGGAGCAUGAUGAGUAAAAAAAAUGAAAUAGUAGAAAGAAAGAGGCCGAAACAUAUGGCACGUGGGAAUAAAGUUGCUUUAUAUGUUCCAAGCGAAUGAAGCAAGCGAGAAAAAACCUUUCGUGCAAAUCUAAAUUUGAGACAGAUAUCUUACCUUACACUUUUCCUAAUUUUGGUUUCUUUAAUUCCCUUCAUUUUUUUAUAUCUUGGUUGUACGUAGAACAUUCGGGGGGCAUGCACUGGGCAUAACCCUGGCUUGUGUACCCCAGUGCUAAAUCAGCAGGUGGGUUUUGAUAUCUCUGGAUCUUUAGCAAUUUUAAAACUUUUUAUAGUUGUAAUGGAUGAGAAAAUCCCUGCAAUCUGAUUGGUUGAGAGCAAUGCAAAAAUUUUACUGGGCUGCAUGAACGAUAUCCCGAUAAUCAAAACGCAACGAUAUCCACUGUAAACAAGCAAUCGUCCGAAAAGGUCAUUGUGAUGUCAUCGCGCAUGUACUGUUACCGUCGCUUGUUUACGUCAAAAUUUGAAUUUCGAUCAAAGCAGAAUGAAUCAAAGGAUGCAAAAUGAUCUAUUCCCAUUCAGCCAUUGGACUGAACCGGUACCAAGACCGGAACUGUAACACAGUAAGGAUGGUCAAUAUGAAGCGAGCUUCAUUGAAUUCCUCCAAGAGCUCUGUACUCUGUUCUGAUCAUUUUGAAGAUGCUUGCUUUGACCUGGGCAGACGAUACGUCUUAAACAGGAUGCUGUCCCAACCAUAUUUGAUUUCCCGCCUCGUCUUCAGAAGAAUUCACCCAAACCAAGGUAUUUCCCAAAAGACUUUUCGAUUCAGCAAACAACCUCCCAGAUACUGCAAAGACACCAGUGCCAAAGUCUUCAGCACCUUAAUUUCUCGAAGACCACUCCUACUGAAUACCAGAAAGUCCAAGAGGGGUAAAGUGGAAGUCAACAACAAUAAUGGACUGUAUUAAAACUUGGAGAAGAGGCUGAAAACCACACAGAAGUCCUACCUUAUACAUUACUUGCUUUUAAGUUUGGACAAACAUUGAUUUGCACAACUUUACAACAAAAAAUUUACGCUGUGUGGAUUCUGAUUAUUUAAAAUAGCUCAAUGAAAACGUUUAUCACUGGGCAUGUAACAAAAAUGAAUUCAUUGAAUUUGAAGAUGUCUUACAGUAUAUUCAUUCUGAUUUGAAUGUCAGAAGAGAAAAAAGUUUGUGAAAAGUAGGAAUGACGGCAAGCUGACAGAAGAAUAGAAUACAUGUAGGAUAGAACAAGGCCACAGUUAUAAAUGAGCUGUUGGAUAGAGACAAAAAGAUGAAUUAAGAAUGGGGGUGAUAGAGAAAUAGAGACAGGAAUUGGGGAGCCUGUGAUGAAUGCCUGAGAAAGUAAAAAUUACCAUAUUUUAUUUUUUUAAGGAUUUGAACAGUC
rnacentral:lncRNA from 1 species